rnacentral:rRNA from 1 species
UACAGAGGGGGCGAGCGUUGUUCGGAAUUACUGGGCGUAAAGGGCGCGUAGGCGGCCCGCUAAGUCGAACGUGAAAUCCCCGGGCCUCAACCCGGGAACUGCGUCCGAUACUGGUGGGCUUGAAUCCGGGAGAGGGAUGCGGAAUUCCAGGUGUAGCGGUGAAAUGCGUAGAUAUCUGGAGGAACACCGGUGGCGAAGGCGGCAUCCUGGACCGGUAUUGACGCUGAGGCGCGAAAGCCAGGGGAGCAAACGGG